rnacentral:misc_RNA from 1 species
CAAAGAAACAAAUAAAGUGAAUAGUGAAUCUAUAAGCAUUUUUCAUCAGAACAUUAGUUAAAAAUAAAAUUUAAGUGCCAUCUUUUGUAAUAAGGGUGUAUAUGCAGUUUCACAUUAAGAUAUCAAUCAUAUAUGAAUUAAUGGUAAAACUGAUACAUAAUUAUCUCACAAAAUAAACAGAGGCCAAAGAGCUGUUGGAAUACAUUACUUCAUGUGUG